AGGUAUGGAAAAGCAUCCCCCUACAUUUGAUUCCCCGUCCCCAGCAAAACAGAGGUUGUCAUUUGUCAGAGCCAGUGUCAGCAAACAACAACCGGAAGGUACAUAUAUUUCUCUCUGGCUUCUGUAGAAAAGGGAAAUACUAUGCCCACCGCUCAGAACGUCCCGUUAUCCCUUCCCGCUAUAUGUGGUUGUUGUUUUUAAAAAUUAAAAAAGUAAAGCUUUUUUUUUUUUUUUAAAUUAGAACAGUCUUCGUCUUCAAGCUUGGUCUUCAAGCCAACCGAAACCCAUUUCAACUUUCAACUUUUGUCUGCGUCACCUUCGUCUUCAAGCCAGAGGAAUCCAUCUCAAAUUUAAAAAUUAUAACCUCCUUCGUCUUCGAGCCAACCGACGUAUUCGAGCUUCGUCUUUUUUUUUCAGAGAAACCCAUUUCAAAUAUAAAAAUUAGAAGCCAACCGGAACCCAGUCCAAAUUUCAUCUUUGUCAGCUUCGUCUGUCUUCGUCAGCUUCGUCUUCAAGCCAGAGGAACCCAUUUCAAAUUUCGUCUUCGCAUAACACUUCAAGGCAAGCUUUUGUUUCAUCUUCAAGCGUUCAGAGAAACCCACUCUGCCCACCAAAGAGAAUCCAUUUCUCAUUUCAUCUUCAAGCCAAGCCUCCAUUUUUGUCUUCAAACCUUCAGUUUCAGAACCGAUUCCGUCACCUCCUUCAAAUAGCCUCCUUCCCAGUUCGAGAAACCCAUGCUUCCGUCGACUCGCCCUUCGGUCGCCACCCCUUCAGACCCAUUCUGUGGCCUCCCGUUCAAGCCUCGAUCCCAGUUCGAAAAGCUUCCGUCGACUCACCAUUGUCACGCCAAAAGGGACCUAUGGCAAAUGCUUGUCUGGGAUUGAUGAUUCAAAGCAAAUGACUAGGGAAGGUUCUUUGCAUUUGACCGCUUUGCGAGAUGAUGCUAACCAGGUUGGGCAUUCUUCCGGGUUUUUUUGUUGGUAUGACCCGGAAAUUCUACCAUAUGGCGAGAAUAUAAUCAACCAUUUAAAAACCGAAAUUCAAAAGAUACAACUUGCAAUGGAUAUCUAAACAAAUCGACAUCAACUAGAAAUAGAGACUGAGAGGCGCAAGAGAAAGUUUGAGAGGUUCAGUGUAGUUUUAGUAAUUUUAAUGUCGUGGGUACUUUGUUUAGGCAUGGUUUUUGGGAAAUUCUGAAAAAAGAUGUUGGUUGCUUGGUAGAUGUAAUAUAUGACUAUGCUUGGUUGGUUGGUUGGUUAUUUUUUGUAAUAGUAAAAACUGAAUGAUGUAUAAAUCUGUUGGAGUAGAUGUUAUUUAAAUUUUGGAUGGUUAAAGGAUUUAUA